ACUACCACCGGGUGGUAAGAUGAAUUUUCCCUAUAUAUAAGAUGGGUCUAUUCUAAUAACACCCUUAAGACCUUAUUCUACUAACACCGGAAGCUUAUUCUACUAACAGUUUCGCACUUCAAAAACCGAUGGACCUAACCCCUUCCGCAAAACAAACCGAGCUACCUCCCCCACUUAACCAACCUUCUUCCUGGUCAGACACCCACCUCUCUCCCUCUCUCCCAUGUUCCUCCCGCUCCACCCCCGACCUCCACCGGAUCCGACCUCCACCUACCCGUGGCCCCUGCAACCCACCGCCCCCACCCCACCCUAUCCAACUACCUUCAUCAGUACCGCCGGACUCGAUGCGUGCCCCAUGCCGCCCCGGAUCCUACCGACCGUCGCCGACAUCUCUGCUCCACUCCGGCGCCCAACGCCCAGUCCGCCGCGCCCGGGAAUGGAUCCGGCCAGCUCCGCCUUUGGCGCUCCUCCGGCGACCACGGUGCUCUCUCGACGCCUGACUUCCUUACCGUGCGCCGCCCCUUCUAGCACCUGAUGCCUGGCCAUGGGUCCUCUCUUUACCAAGCUCUCACUGUUUCCUACCUUGCUGGCCCCGGACCACCGUGAAGCUCUCUCGGGCGGAUCCAUCAGCUACUGAAUCCGGCGCCGGCGAGUGGAUGGGCCGCCUCCCCCGCACCACCCCAGCCGGAUCCGGCCGGCUGCCCCGGCGCCCACUUCCCCUUCUCCUCCCUCGCGAGCAAACCCCCUCCGCGGAUCCAUCGGCCGCCGAAUCCCGCGCCUGCUGGCUGCCACGGCCCCACACCGCCAGAUCCCGUCGAGCAGCCAACCUGUGUGGUGGCGGGCGUGGCGGCCACAGGAGGUUGAUGUGGUGCCCGUUGGUGAGCAGGACGUCGCCCUACUCCGUCCGCUAGAGGGGAGCAGUGCAGUUCGGAUGACAAUGAUAAAGGCAGCUCCGGGACUGGCAGGUGGCCAAUUCCGGCAGCCGGCAUCCUGGGUGAGGCACUAGACAGCAGGGCAGUGCGGGCGGCAACGCCGUGCAGUUUGCGAUGCGCCCACGGUGGCGAUGCUGUGUAGCUGGCCAUGCUGACAUUUGCAGCUCGCUGGAGGGACAGAGGAGGUGCAUCGUGUGGUUUUGUAGUUCAGUGGGUGGGAGUUUCAGUGCGUAUUGUUUUCUCUUCUCCUGAAAUUGAAAUUUCGGACGCCCCCCAAUCUCACCUCAUGGCACUUUCAGUAUAAUGCAUUUCUGAAGUUGGAGAGGGAGUCAACUGCAUAGCUGCUCUUGUGAGGUAGUGGAAUUGGUCUUACAGUUUACUUUGAGGAAAAAAAAUCGAAGUACAGUGCCGACCGAAGAGGAUAAGGAACAUGUGGUGCAUAGAAGACUUUUUAGUAUUCUAAUGCUUAUGCACUGUUUUGUUGUUUAGUGCAAAAUUAGCCAUCAAUAUGGAUAAGGUUGUUGGGCUAAUCAAUAUGUGGUUUAUGUGGAUGGUUGGACACGGUGUCUUGUGGUCAACUGGCUUGGGGUUUGCA